rnacentral:rRNA from 1 species
AGCGAACGCUGGCGGCAGGCUUAACACAUGCAAGUCGAGCGGGCACUUUCGGGUGUCCGCGGCGGACGGGUGAGUAGCGCGUGGGAACGUGCCCUCUGGUUCGGAAUAACUCAGGGAAACUUGAGCUAAUACCGGAUACGCCCUUUUGGGGAAAGGCUUGCUGCCGGAGGAUCGGCCCGCGUCUGAUUAGCUAGUUGGUGAGGUAACGGCUCACCAAGGCGACGAUCAGUAGCUGGUCUGAGAGGAUGAUCAGCCACACUGGGACUGAGACACGGCCCAGACUCCUACGGGAGGCAGCAGUGGGGAAUAUUGGACAAUGGGCGCAAGCCUGAUCCAGCCAUGCCGCGUGAGUGAUGAGGGCCUUAGGGUUGUAAAGCUCUUUUAUCCGGGACGAUAAUGACGGUACCGGAGGAAUAAGCCCCGGCUAACUUCGUG